GCUGGGCAUGGUGGCUCAUGCCUGUAGUCCCAGCUACCUGGGAGGCUGAGGCAGGAGGAUCGCUUGAGACUAGGAGUUCAAGGCUGCAGUGAGCCGUGACUGUACCACUGCACUCCAGUCUGGGUGACAGAGUAAGACCCUGUCUCUU
rnacentral:SRP_RNA from 1 species